rnacentral:rRNA from 1 species
AUUGAACGCUGGCGGCAGGCCUAACACAUGCAAGUCGAACGGUAACAGGAAGAAGCUUGCUUCUUUGCUGACGAGUGGCGGACGGGUGAGUAAUGUCUGGGAAACUGCCUGAUGGAGGGGGAUAACUACUGGAAACGGUAGCUAAUACCGCAUAACGUCGCAAGACCAAAGAGGGGGACCUUCGGGCCUCUUGCCAUCGGCUGUGCCCAGAUGGGAUUAGCUAGUAGGUGGGGUAACGGCUCACCUAGGCGACGAUCCCUAGCUGGUCUGAGAGGAUGACCAGCCACACUGGAACUGAGACACGGUCCAGACUCCUACGGGAGGCAGCAGUGGGGAAUAUUGCACAAUGGGCGCAAGCCUGAUGCAGCCAUGCCGCGUGUAUGAAGAAGGCCUUCGGGUUGUAAAGUACUGUCAGCGGGGAGGAAGGGAGUAAAGUUAAUACCUGUGCUCAUUGACGUUACCCGCAGAAGAAGCACCGGCUAACUCCGUG